rnacentral:lncRNA from 1 species
AAGGAACUCCCCACAGCUAGGGUUAGGGCAGGGCUUUGUUUUUGUAUUUCCAGGAGAAUAAGAGAACCCAACUGAGGAAUCUGAAGACUUUUUGGACAAAUGAGACAGCCAAAGAAGCAUGAAUCAUGAAGAGAAUAUGUCCCAAGAAUAUGUCUACAUCCAACAGGGUAGAAUAUUUGUUUCUGCUGCUCUCUACAAACAUAAAAGGCAAAUGGUAUUUUUUGGUCACAAUUCAAUUAAAAAUUGACUUUGGAGUUGGAACAUGGCUCUCUCCUUCUCGAAAUCUAAGCAUGCUUGUUAAAGGAAAAUCCAAAAUCCUUGUUUCAUGUCAGAAGAGACACCUGGUAUGGAACAGAAGAAAACCAAAAUUAAGGGACUCUUCUAUUGCCACUAAUACCAUAAUUCUUUGGCUUUAGUUUGACUCUUUAAAACUUUCAAGGAUUCGGAAGAGGACAUUGGAUUCCUUGGAACAGUUGUGAGUGGGUGCUGGGAACUGAAUGCAGGUCCUCUGCAAAAGCAACAAGUACUCUUUACCACUGAGCCAUCUCUCCAGCCUCAAGAAAAGGUGUAUGAAGUGUUCAUCGAGGCCAGAUCUUCUGUUCUUAUGAAGCCAGAAAUUUACAUGAGCUUUGGUGGGGCUGUGGGGCAGCAUUCGCAGGUCUUAUUCUUGGUUCGAGUGUUGGGUUCUUCCUGAAUUCCUGAGAUCCUGACCACUUUGUGAUGAAUGAAACAGCAUAGGUAGUAGUGCUGCUUUUUUAGAGCCUGGGAAAGCACAUAAGUAUUAAAGACACUUGCUUUAGAAAUGUCUCUGAUUGCAGCAGCCACUGCUGGGUUCCACAAGAGGGUGUUCUUAAUGGCCUUGCCCUUGGGCAUGCACUGGGCACAGCUCCUGCAGUGAAUCAACUACACAUCACCAUGACUGUUUUUGGCACAACUGUUAAUUACUCUUUUUU